rnacentral:rRNA from 1 species
GAUGAACGCUAGCUACAGGCUUAACACAUGCAAGUCGAGCGACCGGCGCACGUGUGAGUAACACGUAUCCCACCUGCCUUUUACUGGGGGAUAACCUUUAGAAAGAAAGAUUAAUACCCGACAUGAAGGAUGGGGAUGCGUUUCAUUAGGUUGUUGGUGAGGUAACGGCCCACCAAGCCUUCGAUGGCUAGGGGUUCGGAGAGGAAGGUCCACCACAUUGGAACUAAGACACGGUCCAAACUCCUACGGGGGGCAGCAGUGAGGAAUAUUAGUCAAUGAGCGCUAGCCUGAACCAGCCAAGUAGAGUGAAGGAUGAAGGCUUAUGAGUGGUAAACUUCUUUUAUAUAAGAAUAUGUAUUAUAUGAAGAAGCACCGGCUAACUCCGUGCCAGCAGCCGCGGUAAUAC